CUAACUAGCUGAGCUGAGUUAAAAGUUCCAAGUUCCCUGGAAGUUUCCUCCAUCCUUCUUUGUAAAUAUGAACUAAUACUUUCUUCACUGUAAUACACCACAGUCCAGCUUCUGUGGAGUGGAAAAGGAAGUACACAGUUACACAAAGUAUUACCAGAGUCAAACAGAGAAAGAAAGGUUGCUUUCACUUCUUUUUUUAAAUGUAGGAGGUGACAGUAGCACGUAAAUGUUUUUUGUUUUUUUGUUUUUUUUUUCAAGUGCAAACCCCCAUCAUGGUCUUGUGUAUUUAGUGGUGACCUGCAGACAGAGACCAGACUGGACCUGAGUUCACAGACAUGGAGACCACAGCGCUGGCUUUGAUGCUUUGUCUGGUGAUGGCUUCUUUUCCAGUGGAGUCUGCCACAAUUCCAGCGAUUAAGAUGAACCGUAUGUGGCCUGAAGAUCUGCAAGGUUUCUUUCAGAAGGUGCCCCCACAUAGACCGUCAGGUGACGACAGGAGCAGCUCUGUGUCCAUCCCGACACACAGGCCUGGUUCAGUCAUUGCUAAGUGCAAGUGCGGCAAAAAAGUGUGUAGAAUGAGAAUAAUAAGUAAUAAGUGAUGUUGUAUUUUUGAGAGUAAAGUCGCGUCUGUGAAUUUGUAUUCGUACUGAAGAAAGCGUAAUCGUACAUUUACAUUUGGUUAUUGUAAUUCUUGAUAUUGUAACUUUAAUUUGUAUUCUGAUGGAUAAAAUACACACAGUACAUUUGAUGUACGACUGGACUCAUUCAAGAGUUUACAAAUAUUUAUAUUAUGCUCAACUACAGACAAAUAUGCAGGGAUUUCUCUCCUAUGCACAUGAAUAUUUAUGAAAGAUUUCUUACUCCACAUGGAACUAAACACAAAUCUUUUUGCUUUAACUGUGUAUAUUGUGUUGUAAUAGCAUUAUCUAGAGUUCCCAAGUGCUUUUUUUUUUUUUUUUUUUUUUUACUGCAUUAGCACAAACGAGGGACAUUUGCAGCUUUUCUGGUCAACAAUGUCUAAAUGUGUGUGUGUGUAACAGAAGCGUCCACAUAUAACAUGUCAUUAAAAACAUUCCAAAA